AAUGAAAGGAGAUGACAGGAAUUAAUGAAGUCCUGUACUUAAAACAAUGCUUAGAAUCAUUAAGAAAUUCUUGAGAAGCUCAAGCUCAGUGGCAAACAUUCCAAGCAAUAACUCAAAAAUCCAGUUUGGUUUCAUAUCAUCUGCAAUCAACUGUUCUUGCAUGGAGUCCUUUCCUCCUCUUCCAACUACUAAAUUCUAUUCAGGAAAGUGCAUUUCCAUUGGCAAGUGUAAGUCUUUCAUCAGUGGUAAAUCCUUGUAUCCCAGAAUGUUCAUAGGGAGUUGGGAUCUGAGAUUGCUCUGCCAUGACACCUCAAUCCCGAGCUCUCUAUAG
rnacentral:lncRNA from 1 species